UUAACUAACUGGUGUGAAGAUUUCAAAGAAGUUCUUUUCUUCCUUUUCAUUGGAUUUUGGAAGAGUUUCUCUGGUGGUAAAUUUUCCGGCGAAGAUUUUCUUUUCCGUUUAAUUGGCAGGGAAUGGUCUGAGCACCGCCGACGCCGGUGGGAAAGGAAAUAGAAGAUAUGAGAAACCAUGGCGCUGGUUUUAGGGUUUCAG
rnacentral:lncRNA from 1 species